GCGGAUAUGGCGGAAUUGGCAGACGCGAUAGUUUUAGGUGCUGUUUUCGAAUGAAGUGCAGGUUCAAGUCCUGUUAUCCGCA
rnacentral:tRNA from 1 species